rnacentral:rRNA from 1 species
UACGUAGGGUGCAAGCGUUAAUCGGAAUUACUGGGCGUAAAGCGUGCGCAGGCGGUGAUGUAAGACAGUUGUGAAAUCCCCGGGCUCAACCCGGGAACUGCGUCCGAUACUGGAAGGCUUGAAUCCGGGAGAGGGAUGCGGAAUUCCAGGUGUAGCGGUGAAAUGCGUAGAUAUCUGGAGGAACACCGGUGGCGAAGGCGGCAUCCUGGACCGGCAUUGACGCUGAGGCGCGAAAGCCAGGGGAGCAAACGGG